GGGGCGUAGUUUAAAUAGGUAAAAUGUCUAUCUUGCACAUAGUUGUUGUGGGUCCGAUUCCCACCGCCUCCAA
rnacentral:tRNA from 1 species